rnacentral:snoRNA from 1 species
UUCAAUGAUGAUUUUUUUAUAUUCACACUGUACGAGAAGUUUCUGCUUCACUGACUACAUAAACAAAAAACUGAUUUAAUGACUCUGAUG